rnacentral:rRNA from 1 species
AGGGCGCAGGGCGAAUGCCUUGGCACUGGGAGCCGAUGAAAGACGUGAUAAGCUGCGAUAAGCUUCGGGGAGCUGCAAAUAAGCAUUGAUCCGGAGAUUUCUGAAUGAGGAAACUCACCUGGGUUCAUACUCAGGUACGUUAUACUGAACUUCAAAAUAGGUAUAUCGAGGGAACCGCCUGAACUGAAACAUCUAAGUAGGGCGAGGAAGAGACAUCAAACGAGAUUCCGUAAGUAGUGGCGAGCGAACGCGGAAGAGGGCAAACCGAGAGUAGAAAUACUUUCGGGGUACGGACUGCUUUUAAGACUUAAUCUGUUAACCGAACGGCAUGGGAAGGCCGGUCAGAGAGUGUGAGAACCACGUAGGUGAAAACGGAAAGAGCUGCGCAGAUUCCAGAGUACGGCCAGACACGUGAAACCUGGUCGGAAGAUGGGGGGACCACCCUCCAACCCUAAAUACUACCCAGUGACCGAUAGCGUAUAGUACUGUGAAGGAAAGGUGAAAAGCACCCCGGGAGGGGAGUGAAAAAGAACCUGAAACCCUGUGCCUACAAGCACCUAGAGCGCGUCAAUGCGUGAUAGGGUACUUUUUGUAGAACGGUCCGGCGAGCGAUUGUAUGCAGCAAGGUUAAGGACUUAAGGUCUGGAGCCGAAGCGAAAGCGAGUUUGAAAAGGGCGUUAAGUUGCAUAUAAUGGGCCCGAAACCGGGUGACCUACCCAUGGUCAGGUUGAAGUGGAAGUAAAAUUCCAUGGAGGACCGAACCGACCUCCGUUGAAAAGGCGGCGGAUGAACUGUGGGUAGCGGAGAAAUUCCAAUCGAACCCGGAGAUAGCUGGUUCUCCCCGAAAUAGUUUUAGGACUAGCCUCAAGUUAGAUACCUGGAGGUAAAGCACUGAAUAGCCUAGCGGCCGAGAGGUUAGCGAAGCUUAUCAAACUCAGAAUGCCAGAGUAUUGAUGCUUGGGAGUCAGACAGUGUCAGAUAAAUGUCAUUGUCAAAAGGGAAACAGCCCAGAUCUACAGCUAAGGUCCCAAAGUCAGGUUAAGUGGAAAACGAUGUGAAGAUACGCAGACAACCAGGAUGUUGGCUCAGAAGCAGCCACUCAUUCAAAGAGUGCGUAAUAGCUCACUGGUCGAGCGUCUUUGCGCGGAGAAUUUAACGGGGCUAAACCUGACACCGAAGCUUAGGCAAUGUACUUUGUACAUUGGGUAGGGGAGCGUUGUAUACGCGGAGAAACAGUAGCGUAAGCGGCUGUGGAGUGUAUAGAAGUGAGAAUGCCGGAAUGAGUAGCGCGAAUGCAGUGAGAAUCUGCAUGGCCGAAAGCCUCAGGUUUCUGGAGGAAGGUUCGUCCGCUCCAGGUUAGUCGGGAGCUAAGGUGAGGCCGGAAGGCGUAGCCGAUGCACAGACGGUAGAGAUUCCGUCACCACCAAAAGAGUUAAGCACAGGGACACAUAUGAAGUCUCAGAGCCGGGUGUUGGUUCCGGUAGAGAUCGAGGGAAAUUAGUACCGAAGUCUGAGAUGGAAGAUGGCGAGAAAAGCUGUGUGUAUUUCUGAGGUGCCCGUACCGCAAACCGACACAGGUAGGUAGGAAGAAGAUUCUAAGGCCAACGGGAGAAGGGUUGUUAAGGAACUCGGCAAAUUGACCCCGUAACUUCGGGAGAAGGGGUGCUCCAGAGAUGGAGCCGCAGAGAAUCGGCCCAAGCAACUGUUUACCAAAAACACAGGUUUGUGCUAAAUCGAAAGAUGACGUAUACGAGCUGACGCCUGCCCGGUGCUGGAAGGUUAAGAGGAGAUGUGCAAGCAUUGAAUCGAAGCCCCAGUGAACGGCGGCCGUAACUAUAACGGUCCUAAGGUAGCGAAAUUCCUUGUCAGGUAAGUUCUGACCCGCAUGAAAGGCGUAAUGAUUUGGGCACUGUCUCAACAGCCCGCCCGGCGAAAUUGUAGUACCGGUGAAGAUGCCGGUUACCCGCGACAAGACGGAAAGACCCCAUGGAGCUUUACUGUAGCCUAAUAUUGGGUUUCGAUGUUGCAUGCACAGGAUAGAUGGGACACUGGGAAGCAGGUGCUUUGGCGCUUGUGGAGUGGCCGUUGGGAUACCAUCCUUGCGAUAUUGGAAUUCUAACCUGCGCCUUUGAAUCAAGGCGGGGGACAUUGUUAGGUGGGCAGUUUGACUGGGGCGGUCGCCUCCUAAAGAGUAACGGAGGCGUUCAAAGGUUCGCUCAGCUUGAACGGAAAUCAAGCAAAAGAGUGCAAACGCAGAAGCGAGCCUAACUGCGAGACUGACGGGUCGAGCAGUAACGAAAGUUGGAGUUAGUGAUCCGGUGGUAUGUGAGUGGAAAUGCCAUCGCUCAACGGAUAAAAGUUACCCUGGGGAUAACAGGCUGAUCUCCCCCAAGAGUCCACAUCGACGGGGAGGUUUGGCACCUCGAUGUCGGCUCAUCGCAUCCUGGGGCUGUAUUCGGUCCCAAGGGUUUGGCUGUUCGCCAAUUAAAGCGGUACGCGAGCUGGGUUCAGAACGUCGUGAGACAGUUCGGUCCCUAUCUGUCGUGGGCGCAGGAUAUUUGAUGGGAGCUGUCCCUAGUACGAGAGGACCGGGACGGACGUACCUCUGGCGCACCAGUUGUUCCGCCAGGAGCAUAGCUGGGCAACUACGUACGGAUCGGAUAAACGCUGAAAGCAUCUAAGCGUGAAGCCGACCCAAAGAUAAGAUAUCCCACUGAUUCAAUCAGGUAAGAUCCCUUGU